rnacentral:lncRNA from 1 species
UUCCCAGCACACAGCUUCUAAAACUCUUGGAAUCUCUCUCCGAUGAUAAGUGUCUUCUUUAUGCUAAUGGUGACCAAUGGCUGGAGGGCCCUAGAUAUCAGCAGGUCACCAGAAGACCCAGGCCUGAUUAGAGGGUUGGAACUUUCAGCCCCACCCCCUGACCUCCGGAGUGCCUUUUCUGUUCCAUUGUUUUAUGUGAUGCUGGGCGUUUGCUUAAGAAUGAUCCCAUCCUUCUGACAGCUGAGCAUCCUUACCUCUCUCUCCUGUGAGUUAUCUCUGUUUACCCAUCCUUACAAAAGCAAAUGGAGGUUUAUCCAUUGCUGUAGGUUGAAAAGCUUUUGUCAGAAAUUGCAAGUGUACCUGUUGAAAGCGUUGAUCAAAAAAGCUCAGAAUUUUACACUGUCUUCUCAGAUUGGUGACCCAUUAGCUUGUGGACUAGGAAGGGAAGUCCAAGCCAAAAGCCUGUUAUAUCGGAGAGCUCCCUUCAGUUUGGGAGAAUUUCUUUUCUCCUUUGUUGGGGCAGCCACCAGCUGAAGCAGGGUUUCCCCUUUCUAACUAGCACAAGUGCCCUCAUUA